UACGUAGGUGGCAAGCGUUGUCCGGAUUUACUGGGCGUAAAGCGUGCGCAGGCGGUUUUGUAAGUCUGUCGUGAAAUCCCCCGGCUCAACCUGGGAAUUGCGAUGGAGACUGCAAGGCUAGAAUCUGGCAGAGGGGGGUAGAAUUCCACGUGUAGCAGUGAAAUGCGUAGAGAUGUGGAGGAACACCGAUGGCGAAGGCAGCCCCCUGGGUCAAGAUUGACGCUCAUGCACGAAAGCGUGGGGAGCAAACAGG
rnacentral:rRNA from 1 species